ensembl:lncRNA
GUGAAUCACGUGAAGUUGCUCAGUUGUGUCCGACUCUUUGAGACCCCAUGGACUACCAGGCUCCUCUGACUACGGGAUUUUCCAGGCAAGAGUACUGGAGCGGGGUGCCACUUUCUUCACCAGGGGAUCUUCCUGACCCAGGGAUCGGACCCAGGUCUCCCACAUUGCAGGCAGACGCUUUACCAGUGGUUCAAAUUGGAUAAUUUGCGGGUGCCCAGUCUUCUUCCUCCUCCAGAUGGAAGUCAUCACAGCCACCUUGCCCAGGAUGUUGGAGGCCAAGAAGCACAACCAGCAGGAAGCCUCUGAAUUCAUCUCAUUUCCCUGUUUUACCAGCUGCGCUGACCAGCUUUCAUGAUCCUCAGCUUCCUGGGGCCCAUGUGGUGUGGAAUCCUUGCCUUGAGCCCCUGCCUUUGCUGUGGGUGAGCCUGAGGCUGUUAGCAGGGCCAGGAGUCAGAAAGAAGAGCCAGACACGGUGGGGUAAGGGUAGGGAGAUUGACUACCAGCUGGAAUCUGCUGGGUACCUCUAUAUCCAUCUGUCCAUCACCACAUCUGAUACAACGACUUCAGAGAGCAAGGGCCAUUACUUUACUUCCCCCUUCCAAAUUUCACGCAUGUUCCUCUUAUGGCUAACUCUAAAUGGAAUCAUACAGGGAAAGCAAUGCCGGGAAACAGUUCCCACUUUAACCAACUUGACAGAACACAAGCCAUCUAUGUGGUCAGGAAGCUACUCUUAGGAAGUAAGCCCUGAGCUGAGACCCAAGGAUGAGAAU